UUUUGGGACUGUAGAAGGUAUGAACAAUUUAUCAAGAUCCAAUAUUUGGUAUUUAUUAAACUGGAACGUUGACAAUUGUAGAAUUGGGUACGCUGGUAGGUACCAAAUUAUGAUGCAACACGUUUAAUCGUCGAUCCAUUGUAAUGACCUAUGCAACAUAGUACUCCACAUUGAACCACACACUCGAAAAAAGUGUAUGAUUAACUCAUGAUACUUGUGUCCGGUUCUAAAGAACGCUAUGAUAAAUUACUCAAUCCAGGAACCACCUAGCUGCUAUAUGAAAUUCCAUUUUAUUACCCAAGUCAAUCUCAUACGUUCGGCAGUCACCAGCAGUAUGCAAGCGGUCUGCAAAUCUUAUAAAUUAAUU